rnacentral:sRNA from 1 species
GCCAGGUGUAGUGGCACAUGCCUGUAAUCCCAGCAGCUCAGGAGGCUGAGACAGGAGGAUCACGAGUUCAAAGCCAGCCUCAGCAAUGGCUAGUCUCUAAGCAACUCAGUGAGAUCCGGUUUCUA